GGGUCCAGCCGGGGCGCCCCCGCGCCCCCUUUCCCGGGACUUGAAUUUAAAGGGACAGGAACUGCGUAACGGGAAGGCGCCAAGCACUCAGGGCCCUCUCCGCCCCCUCCCGGGAGCUGCGAAGUGAAGCCCCGCACAGCAGGCCCAAGGCGGGCUGGGGACGCCCCGCAAGCUUCGCCUCCCGCACCCGGCGCCUCGCCCCUCGCGCCUGGCUCCUGUCUGCGACGCCUGGCCCUGACUCGACUGAAGAAGCUCUUGGAGGACCACAGAUGCUGGAGCUUGGAACCAGCCCACCAUGCUGUCCGGAAGCCCAACAGCCCGUGGAGAGAUGCAGCAGGAGAGAAGCGGGGCCUCCAGCCCACAGCCAGCACCAGCUGACAAUCCUGCCAGCAGGGAUGAGAAUGUGGCAACUUAGUGGAACAGAGGAGAAUCUCUCCGACCUUGAGGAUGGAGGCAAAAGCAGGUUCUGGACAGAAAUGAAGAACAAGAGAGCCAAAACCCAAAUCUCUCUCUUUCCCUGGGCCCCACUGUGUCUCCUACUGUCUGCUUUAUGUUUCUGCUCUCCAGAGACCAGCUUUCUCUGCUGUGGUCUACUCUUUCCAUCACCUCUCAGUCAGUCCAACACUGGCAGUCAAUAAUCUGGACUCUGUGUAUCCUGGUUCCUAGGGGAGGUCCACCUCGGGUCAGCUGCAGUCAGGUGUCCAUUCCCGACCCAGUCAACUGUAGUCAGGGUCCUUCCUUGUGACAGCAGGAAGAAGGCCUGGUUGGCUCUUCUAGUGCAAGUUAGAGCACGUGGAUUCCGAGCCAGAAAUUGGGGUGUGUGUUCUGUUAGUGGGACAGAUGACUUGAAAUUAAGAAUGAAAGAGUUAAAAAAUGGCAGGCAUAAUUUCACUUCCUUAUUUACCAAGACCUAGAACUAUCUAUGACCCCAGGGAACACUGUCACUGGGUCAUUCAAUUUCUAGAUGGAAACAGUUAUGAAGAAGAGAGAGGUGGAGGAAUGAAGGAGAAAGAGGAGGAUAAUGAAGGAGAGAUUUGGACAAAUUAGCAAAAAGGAAAA